rnacentral:rRNA from 1 species
GAUGAACGCUAGCUACAGGCUUAACACAUGCAAGUCGAGGGGCAGCGGGAUUGAAGCUUGCUUCAAUUGCCGGCGACCGGCGCACGGGUGAGUAACGCGUAUCCAACCUUCCGCUUACUCAGGGAUAGCCUUUCGAAAGAAAGAUUAAUACCUGAUAGUAUCGAGAGAUUGCAUGAUAGCCCGAUUAAAGAUUUAUCGGUAAACGAUGGGGAUGCGUCCCAUUAGCUUGUUGGCGGGGUAACGGCCCACCAAGGCGACGAUGGAUAGGGGUUCUGAGAGGAAGGUCCCCCACAUUGGAACUGAGACACGGUCCAA